ensembl:lncRNA
CAGAAAACAAAACCAGGAGGCACGUAAAUGUUUCUUCUCCAUGAUGUUUCUUCAAAUGUUUCUUCUGGAUGAUGAGAAGACUGUGACACGGGAUGCCACCUUUGGUCUUGUGAUAAAGCAAAGCUCAGGAAGAAGUGUGAUUAAAUGGUACCCACAUGUUGAGAAGGAUGUACAGGGGCACCUGCAGCCAAAUCCAAGCUUCAGAGCGGCAGUUUGUGCUCACAGAUGGUGACGGUGUGGAGAGACGGUGGUGUUUCCUCAGAAGAACCAGCAGAGUCACAAAGGACACCAGUCCAUCUCACCACCUUGACUUGCUGACUGAUGCUCGUCUGCACUGCACAGAGGAAAUCAACUGACUGAGGAGUGUUUCCUGGAGUCAUCAUCCAGGUAAAGUGACGUGGAUCAGUGGAUACACUUGUCUCCCCUUUAAAGGAGACGAUCCAAGUCAUCCUUAAAUAUGGGCAGUAUAUCAGUCUUGGACUGUCUAACCUGCCGGAGCAGCACUGAAUGACCACCACACAUGAGCAUGUUCCUGCAACAUUCAGCAUCUGAUCCUUCAUCUGUGUGCUGCUGCUUUUGUGUCAAAUGUCAAACAGCUGGAGAGGAAACUACACCAGUGUACUGGGAUGUUUCAGCAACACGUGCCAGAUGCUGUUCCUUCAUGGUGACAUCACCAGAGACAGUCCCGCCCACCUCAGGACCUCGCCAUUGAUCAUGAUGAUUAUAAUGAUGACAGCGAGCGGAACUAAGACUGUAAAAAUCCACGACCAGAAUGUUUAGAUGCUUUCUAAUUAUUAAUGAAUACUGAGUUUUUGUCUCUCCCUUUUUUUUUUUUUACCUCAUUUGUUACUAACAAAGUUCACCAAACUCACACAGUUUACAUUCCGUAUAUUUCCAUCAAGGUUUAUUUUCUUAGAAAUCAUCGUUUUUCUCCUUUUCUCUUUUGUAAUUGAUGAUAAUUCAGUGAAUAUACUGCGCUGCUUCCUUUUAUUGCGUCACACAUUGCUUUAAGUUUUUCAGAGUCCAGUUAUUUUUUUACUGCUGUUUGAAUUCUCUGUAUGUUUGACCCUGUAGACUGUUUGAUGGACUGCUUGUCUUCCUGUUUGUAACCGCCGCCUGUUUUUGACUAAAGAUUUGGAUUUCUGACUUUAACACAGCCUCUGCAUGUCCUCCCUUUGUGUCCUCUUCCUCUGUGAAUGUGUUGCAUGUGAGAUUCAUUUUAUUAACAGCUUUCCCACAGUGAGUUGCAUCAGCAUUCAUUCACAGCACAUUUCAGAAGGAUUCAGAUUAAUAGAGUGAUCUUAUAGUCAG